rnacentral:misc_RNA from 1 species
AUUGGAGUGGAUUUUUCAUUGUUGUAGUAGCUGUUAUUGGAUUCUAUUUGGUCACUGAUAUAAAGGAGAGGAAAGGUGGAGUUGGGUGCUUUGUGUUUGUUUGUUUUGGAAAAGCAAAGGGGAAACUAUGCUUAAAUGAGCUAAAGAGUAGUGUUGAAGCUGAAACCGUUAAUAAAGUUCUAAUCUUUUGAAUUUUUUCCUUCAUUUUCUUCGCAACUAAACAGCAGGUCACCAGGUACUUGGUUUUUUAGCUAGUUGAGUUAAUGUUAUUUUAGUUCUGAAAAGGAAAGCGAGUGGGCUUAACUUGUUUUCUCUUGUUACGUGAUCUUGGAUUAGUUGGAUCAAAGGGAAAUAGCGAAAGCAGGUGUUUAGUGGUGGUUUGCUAGUUUAGUUGAGGCUGGGGUUUUAGCCCUUUUGGGUUUCUGCCCUUCUGUUUAUUUCACUUUUGUUCUAGUUGUGUUCUAUGGAAGUUAAGGCAUAGAAAAGUCGGUUGCGCCCUUACUGUCUGUUUGGUUGCUCAGAAAAUGAGAUAACUUAAGGGGAAGAAAACUUGAAUGCAAUGGUGCUAUAUUUUUUAGGUUUCCCUGAUUUUAUCUUGUUGAUUUUUGGGGUUAACAGAAUUUAGUAUUGGUAUUUAUUUUUAUAUAUCGGGUUUACUUUUUUAUUAAGAUCUGCCAAUCCAAAUGGGUUGUCAUUUGACUGAUUCCGUUUACAGUAUGACUAUGGUCUAUAUUUAACUGAUUUGCACAUUAUAUGUUUUGAUAUUGCAAUUUUAUUAAGUAACAAUUUUACAUUUCUUUUUGAUGGUUUCUUUUCUGUUAGUAUACAAUGUAUAAUGGUACAGGAAUCAAAGUGUAUGCUUUAUUAUUUGGGAAUUGUAUUCCUUUGUUUUCAUUAUCCUUGACUUGUUAUGCAGGAGAUGUUUUUUCAUUGAUGAUGAUAACUGA